AUAAAGAGGAACCUGGUUGAAAGAGGCCCCACAGUCAGGAAGGAAGCAUAACCUGACCUAUUUUCUUCCCUAAGAGAAGAAAACCUGGUAGUGUCCAAGAAACUGAACACUGGGUUCCAUCCACCUUAGACAGAUUUACCGGAUACCUACUUGGUGCCAAUGCCUGUGGAUUGGAGAUCCUGAGACAUUGCCCUUGCUCUGCAAGAACUCAGCCUGGACCCAGCAGAGGAGGAAGAGGAACGGGACUGCAGAUAAACCACAAAGGAGACACUUGCUCCCAGAGGCCCUGAUCCAACCUUCUCCCAGGAAUUCCAUUACCUCUGCUUCAGUGCUGCCUUCUCCUGGAUGCCACCUCUGUGCUGUCGGUUCCAGAAAAACAUGCAUUUUAUAAGGACAUGAAGAGCUUCAGUGGAGGCAGAUGGGGGUCCAGCAAGAAUGCCAAAGCAGCCAUCUCAUGAUGUUUGACAACAUUCAUCUGAGCUGUUUCAUGUUUAACAUGUCUUCCAACUCUGUAAAAUUACAGAAUGGAAUAUGAAAGAUGGCAUUUUAUUCUAUGGCUGGUGAAAAGGAUGAAAAAAGACACCACUUGUUUUUUUUCAUUCAUGCAGCUGAUAUUGGUUGAGCACCUAUUAUGUUCUUAAGCACGAUGCUAGACGCAAGCGAUAUCAAGUUGGCUAAGACUCUCCAACAACCAUGCUUUGGGCUGAUAGAUGUGUGAACAAAUAACUACUGGUGGUGAUCGCUGUAAUGGAAGAAGGUGACACAGGUGCAGAGGAGGAAAUGGCUAACUGCCAGAGAAGCCAGAUAAGACCUCAAGGUAGAAGCAACCUCUGAACUGAAUCUUGGGUUUUUUUCUGUAAAGGACCAUACAGUAAAUAUCUGAAGCUUUGCAGGCCGUACAGUCUCUGCUGCAACUACUCAACUCUGCCACUGUAACACGAGGUCAGCCAUAGACAAUAGAUAAAUGAAUGGGUGCAACUGUGCACCAAAAUGACAUUAUUUAUGGACACAGAAAUUUAAAUUCUCUAUAACUUUCAUGAGUCAUGAAACGUCAUUUUUCUUCUGGUAUUUUUUCGGCCAUUAAAAAAUACAUUUUUCACCAACCUGAUGCUUAAAAAUGAAAAUACAAAAACUUUCUUGGCUCUUGGGCCACAGGAAACCAGGUAGAGGGACAGAUGUGAUCCACGGGCUGUGAUUUGCAGACCCCUGUCUUAAAGGCUGAAUUGGCAUACCCCUGGUGAAGAUGGAGGUAUGAGUUAGUAACGAGAGUAAAGGGGGGUCUCUGCAGUGUAAGGUCCUUAGCAAAGUCUCAGAAACACAUAAAGAUUGAGUCUAUUUGGGAAAUUGAGGUCGUUGUGAGAGUGAGGCCUGGGGUCCGGAUCGAAACUGGAAAAGUCAAUAGUCAACAGUUUUUAUAUGCCCACUGUUGAACACAUCAUUAUUUUAAAAUAUUACUACAUAAAAUUACAAUUAAAUAAAUUACAUUUAAAAGAAAACUGGCCGGGUUCAGUGGCUCACGCCAUAAUCCCAACACUUUGAGAGGCCAAGAUAGGCAGAUUGCUUGAGCCCAAGACCAGCCUGGGCAACAUAGCAAAACCUCGUCUUUACUAAAAUUACAAAAAUUAUCCAGGAGUGUUGGUGUGCCUGUAGUCCAAGCUACUUGGGAGGCUGAGCUGGGAGGAUGGCUUAAGCCCAGGAGAUGAAGGUUGCGGUGAGCUGUGAUCACGCCACUGCACUCUAGCCUGGAUGACAGAGAAGAACCUGUCUCAAAACAAGAAAACACACACACAAAAC
rnacentral:lncRNA from 10 species